CAGUACAGGCAAGCAAAAAUAAAACAAAAACAUCAGUAGCUCUGUCCUUGAGCUCAAAUUUCGACUUGUAAAUUAUUGUAAUGAUAGAGAGGAAGGGAUGGUGACACUGAAGCAAGAAGAGGACGGAAUAUGCUAGUGACUCUUAUUUUAACGAAUGCUAUCACUUGUAACAGUUGUUCUAACACGAAUCACAUGUCAUUUUCAGCCACGAGACCUAUUCCCGCCAAAACUUGGUUUAUUGCCAAUAAAAAUAAGUAUAAGAAAUAACUUAAGAUUUAACACAGAUCGUAAAUACCCAUUAGCAACGAAGUUCAAUAAAACAGCAAGUAUUACUACAUUUUUAUUACUUGGAUUAUACAAUAUUUUACAACAAUAAAAUAAUUCAUAUCA